rnacentral:rRNA from 1 species
CCUACGGGUGGCAGCAGUGGGGAAUAUUGCACAAUGGGCGCAAGCCUGAUGCAGCCAUGCCGCGUGUGUGAAGAAGGCCUUCGGGUUGUAAAGCACUUUCAGCGGGGAGGAAGGCGGUGAGGUUAAUAACCUCAUCGAUUGACGUUACCCGCAGAAGAAGCACCGGCUAACUCCGUGCCAGCAGCCGCGGUAAUACGGAGGGUGCAAGCGUUAAUCGGAAUUACUGGGCGUAAAGCGCGCGCAGGCGGUCUGUCAAGUCGGAUGUGAAAUCCCCGGGCUCAACCUGGGAACUGCAUUCGAAACUGGCAGGCUAGAGUCUUGUAGAGGGGGGUAGAAUUCCAGGUGUAGCGGUGAAAUGCGUAGAGAUCUGGAGGAAUACCGGUGGCGAAGGCGGCCCCCUGGACAAAGACUGACGCUCAGGUGCGAAAGCGUGGGGAGCAAACAGGAUUAGAUACCCUUGUAGUC